CACUCAGAGGCAUCAGGGGAGCCGGGCUUCGGGAAGUCUCCAGCCAGGACCCAGGAGCAGGACACCUGCCUGUGGGGAGAGAGCCAGGAGGGAGAGGAAGCUGAUGAAGAGGCUUCCGCCUCUAUGCAAAGGAACCCUCCGACAUCCUUGAGACCUUCGUCUGACACCCCUGAGGCCACUUCCUUCCCCCUUUCUAGGAGGCCAGUAAGAAAUCCUGUCCUUGGGGAGGGGGCAAUACCGUCCCUAAGAGGGCCUCCAAGGGAUGCCCCAGAGCAUUUACAGGCCCCGUUGGCCUGACAGCCUCUCGGGAUCUGGUGGAGCUUUUCAGGUCCCUCUGUGCCCCCCUCCAUCCGCUCCUCUCUGUGCCCACCUCACCCUCCUAUCCUCUCUCCUAAGCCUUUCAGGCCCAGCCCUGCUCGGGCACUUCGCCUGUUCUUCUGGCCCUGGAUCAUCUUAUCUUUGCCCCCACUGACUCUGAGGCACCCUGGUCUGAAAGCAGUUCCUCCCUUGGCCAAGAGCCCACCCGUGAGCCCUGUACAAGGGGAGCCCCGGAGGGCCAGAUCCCCAGGUUCAGCAGGAAAUUGCCCCUUUGCCUAGGCCUGUAUAAUCAAGCCUUUCCACAAAACAGCCCCCACUCACCAGGCCCUUAGACUUAUCAGGCUUUCCAGUGGGUUGCACUCUGGGUAGGGCUUAAAUAGGAGCUGUUUCAUCUUGAGCAAAUAAAUCCCUCUUUCUGAAUCCCAGUUUCCUCUGUAAAAUGAGGCCCCCAUGUUUGCUCUGCCUAUCACAGGACUGCUGAAAAGGACAGACUGUGUGUACAGCCGAACGUGUGGAACCACACACAGGUAGUUCCUGUUUUCACUAACUCCUGGCAUUGCGUGGUGCGCUGUGCUGAGCCCUGCCAGGCGAGAUGCUCCCUCUGCCUGUCCCCGCAUCCCCCGGACUUCUAGAAGACAGUCCGAGGCCGCUUCUCUGGCUUGAUUUCCAUAGAGUCAAAGAAUAAUGGAAUUUCGGAGUGGAGAGAGACCUUGGUGGUCCUCUUGUACAAGCCAUAGCACCCCACCCCCAAAAACCCCUGCCACUACCAUAUGAAUGACGAGUGACCUGCCAUCCUCUGCCAGAUGUCCAAGGAGGACUGUUUUCCUAAGCAGCCCAUUCUCCUUUAGGUUCGCUCUCAUUCUUCAGGACUUUUUCCUGUUAUCCUGCCUAAAUCUAUUUCUUUGCAGUUUCUCCUUAUAGUUCUUCAUCUCCCCUCUGGGAGAUUUAUUCUCCUACACAGAAUAAAUGUAGUCUUUCAUAAGAA